rnacentral:tRNA from 1 species
GGGGAGAUGGCUCAGUAGUGAAGAGAGAGCACUUGUCCUCCGCUCUUCCAGAGGACCUGGGUUUGAUUCCCAGUCUCUCUC